AUUUGCUCAGGAUGAGGAAUGAAGAUGGCCAUCUUGAGCCCAAACAAACAGAAGUCCUCUGAUGAUCUCUUCAGCCAAACGAGGGGUUUUGACCAAGUGAUGCUCUUGAAAGGAGUGAAAGAAGAGGAUGUGGUAAAUUGUCUUCAGAGAAAAAGCUUCUCAAAAGGUCUUAAAACAGCUUGAAGAAUGGUCUGGGAUGUUAGGACUGAGAGAUCCUCUGGCUGAGAACAAGCUACACCACAUCAGUGCUGGACAUCAACCACAAACUGUUUCCAGACACGAGAGAAGAAGAUCACGAUGGGGAGAUGAAACCAGUUUAGAUGUGAUGAUGGGAAUCAUUACUUUCUGGAACAGUAUCACAUGUCUUAUAUGUAUCACAUGAUCUGUAUCACAGUUGACUGGAUGGGACUGUGUGACUUUUAAGGACAUUUCAUCACUCAUCUGUGUGAACUGAUUUAUAUAUGAGGUUAAUGUAUCUUUGAUGAUAAUUAUUUUCAUUGAAUCUUAUUUGUCUUGAUGCUACUUUAUCAACUUUAUAGUCUAUGCUUCAAUAAAAUGAAAAUGGUGAA